AAAUAAAAUAAGGUUUCUUAUAUCAAAUCCUUUUAAUUUAAUCAACUAACCACUCUAAUACAUAUUUAGAUUUGUCAAUAUAUAAUAUAUUCUAAUUUAGUUUUAUAUAUUGUAAUCAUUUAUAGAAUGACAUCCACCUCCUCCAAACCUACACAUUCUCUAAUAUGUGCUACGUCUUACUCCUCUUCAUUAUCUUGAAAGUACU
rnacentral:lncRNA from 1 species